GCAGUCGCCGCGGGAAUACGUAGGUGGCAAGCGUUGCCCGGAAUUAUUGGGCGUAAGGCGCGCGUAGGUGGUUUAAUAAGUCUGAUGUGAAAGCCCACGGCUCAACCGUGGAGGGUCAUUGGAAACUGUUAAACUUGAGUGCAGGAGAGAAAAGUGGAAUUCCUAGUGUAGCGGUGAAAUGCGUAGAGAUUAGGAGGAACACCAGUGGCGAAGGCGGCUUUUUGGCCUGUAACUGACACUGAGGCGCGAUAGCGUGGGGAGCAAACAGGAUUAGAUACCCCUGUAGUCCCUGUCUCUUAUAC
rnacentral:rRNA from 1 species